rnacentral:rRNA from 1 species
UACGGAGGGUGCAAGCGUUACUCGGAAUUACUGGGCGUAAAGCGCACGCAGGCGGUCUGUCAAGUCGGAUGUGAAAUCCCCGGGCUCAACCUGGGAACUGCAUUCGAAACUGGCAGGCUAGAGUCUUGUAGAGGGGGGUAGAAUUCCAGGUGUAGCGGUGAAAUGCGUAGAGAUCUGGAGGAAUACCGGUGGCGAAGGCGGCCCCCUGGACAAAGACUGACGCUGAGGCGCGAAAGCCAGGGGAGCAAACGGG